UAACAUGAUCUUGAGGAGUUAUCGCUG
rnacentral:piRNA from 1 species